GACGCGCGGGCGCACAGGCUGGGCUGGGCUGGGCUGGGGGGCCUGGGCGGGGGCCCGCUCCGGCUCC
rnacentral:miRNA from 1 species